UAAUUGAAGAGUUUGAUCAUGGCUCAGAUUGAACGCUGGCGGCAGGCUUAACACAUGCAAGUCGAGCGGUAGCACGGGGGAGCUUGCUCCCUGGGUGACGAGCGGCGGACGGGUGAGUAAUGUCUGGGAAACUGCCUGAUGGAGGGGGAUAACUACUGGAAACGGUAGCUAAUACCGCAUAACGUCGCAAGACCAAAGAGGGG
rnacentral:rRNA from 1 species